UCAGUCGACUCCUACGGGGAGGCAGCAGUGGGGGAAUAUUGCACAAUGGGCGCAAGCCUGAUGCAGCCAUGCCGCGUGUAUGAAGAAGGCCUUCGGGUUGUAAAGUACUUUCAGCAGUGAGGAAGGUGGGGUAUGUUAAUAGCAUACUCAUUUGACGUUAGCUGCAGAAGAAGCACCGGCUAACUCCGUGCCAGCAGCCGCGGUAAUACGGAGGGUGCGAGCGUUAAUCGGAAUUACUGGGCGUAAAGCGCAUGCAGGUGGUUUGUUAAGUCAGAUGUGAAAGACCCGGGGCUCAACCUCGGAAUUGCAUUUGAAACUGGCAAACUAGAGUACUGUAGAGGGGGGUAGGAAUUUCAGGUGUAGCGGUGAAAUGCGUAGAGAUCUGAAGGAAUACCGGUGGCGAAGGCGGCCCCCUGGACAGAUACUGACACUCAGAUGCGAAAGCGUGGGGAGCAAACAGGAUUAGAUACCCUGGUAG
rnacentral:rRNA from 1 species